rnacentral:lncRNA from 1 species
AUUUCAUGGCAUUUUACUGAUGUUAUAGACUGGAGGUGGGGUGAGAAGGAUGGAGUCUUUCAAAGCAGUGUGCCUAGGACACUUCUUUCUCUGGACUACAGACUCCUGUGAAGUGCUUCCACUGACAUUCUGGCAAAGGCUGGAACAAGAAAAGGAAAUCUCCCCAGAGUUCGACCUGUAGGAUCAAACUCAUCAGCCCCCAAGUAAGAGAAACCUACUUACCCAUAAACAUGAUGGCUGCAA